rnacentral:rRNA from 1 species
UGGGGAAUUUUGGGCAAUGGGCGAAAGCCUGACCCAGCAACGCCGCGUGAAGGAUGAAGUAUUUCGGUAUGCAAACUUCGAAAGAAUAGGAAGAAUAAAUGACGGUACUAUUUAUAAGGUCCGGCUAACUACGUGCCAGCAGCCGCGGUAAUACGUAGGGACCAAGCGUUGUUCGGAUUUACUGGGCGUAAAGGGCGCGUAGGCGGCAAUUCAAGUCAUCUGUGAAAUCUCCGGGCUUAACUCGGAACGGUCAGAUGAUACUGCUUUGCUAGAGUGCAGAAGGGGCAAUCGGAAUUCUUGGUGUAGCGGUGAAAUGCGUAGAUAUCAAGAGGAACACCUGAGGUGAAGACGGGUUGCUGGGCUGACACUGACGCUGAGGCGCGAAAGCCAGGGGAGCAAACGGGAUUAGAUACCCCCGUAGUCCCUGAGCGGGCUGGCAAGGCGCAU